AAACAAGUCCUUUUGGUUAAAUAAAAGGUUUGACCUUCCCUAUGAUUUUUAUUUAAWGGCUGCAGUAUUUUGACUGUACAAAGGKAGCAUAAUCAUUUGUCUUUUAAUUGAAGUCUGGAAUGAAUGGUUUGAUGAAAAAUAUACUUUCUUUAUUUUAUAUAAAAAAUUUAAUUUUUUAGUCAAAAAGCUAAAAUUUUUUUAUAGGACGAGAAGACCCUAUAGAACUUUAUUUUUAUUAAUUUUGUAAUUAGAUUAGGAAAUGUCUUGAUACAUGAUUGAGAAAAUUUUGUUGGGGUGACAGAAAAAAUUAAAUAACUUUUUCUUAUUUAAUCAUUAUUAGUGAAUUUUUGAUCCUUUUUUAGGGAUGGAAGAUUAAGUUACCUUAGGGAUAACAGCGUUAUUGUUUCAGAGAGUUCAUAUCGAUGAAAUAGUUUGCGACCUCGAUGUUGGAUUAUAAUAAGAUGUAGGAGUAGAAUAUUAUGUUCUAGGUCGGUUCAACCUUUAAAUUUUUAC
rnacentral:rRNA from 1 species